rnacentral:rRNA from 1 species
GAUGAACGCUAGCGGCAGGCUUAACACAUGCAAGUCGAGGGGUAGAGGCUUUCGGGCCUUGAGACCGGCGCACGGGUGCGUAACGCGUAUGCAAUCUGCCUUGUACUGGGGGAUAGCCCAGAGAAAUUUGGAUUAAUACCCCAUAGUAUUUUCGGUUGGCAUCAACUGAUUAUUAAAGUUUUUCGGUACAAGAUGAGCAUGCGUCCCAUUAGCUAGUUGGUAUGGUAACGGCAUACCAAGGCUACGAUGGGUAGGGGUCCUGAGAGGGAGAUCCCCCACACUGGUACUGAGACACGGACCAGACUCCUACGGGAGGCUGAAGUGAGGAAUAUUGGUCAAUGGUCGCAAGACUGAACCAGCCAUGCCGCGUGCAGGAUGAAGCAUCUAUGGUGUGUAAACUGCUUUUGUACGGGAAGAAACACUCCUACGUGUAGGGGCUUGACGGUACCGUAAGAAUAAGGAUCGGCUAACUCCGUGCCAGCAGCCGCCGCAGUAA